rnacentral:rRNA from 1 species
AGAGUUUGAUCAUGGCUCAGGAUGAACGCUAGNGGCAGGCUUNACACAUGCAAGUCGAGGGGUAACGAUGUCUUCGGACAGUCGACGACCGGCGCACGGGUGAGUAACGCGUAUGCAACCUACCUUUAACAGGAGGAUAGCCCCGAGAAAUCGGGAUUAAUACUCCAUAACAUUCUUUAGUGGCAUCACUUUAGAUUUAAAGCUCCGGCGGUUAAAGAUGGGCAUGCGUGACAUUAGUUUGUUGGUGAGGUAACGGCUCACCAAGACUACGAUGUCUAGGGGGUCUGAGAGGAUGAUCCCCCACACUGGUACUGAGACACGGACCAGACUCCUACGGGAGGCAGCAGUGAGGAAUAUUGGUCAAUGGACGCAAGUCUGAACCAGCCAUGCCGCGUGCAGGAUGACGGCCCUAUGGGUUGUAAACUGCUUUUAUUAAGGAAUAACUCCUCGGUCGUGUAUCGAGGCUGAACGUACUUAAAGAAUAAGCACCGGCUAACUCCGUGCCAGCAGCCGCGGUAAUACGGAGGGUGCAAGCGUUAUCCGGAUUCAUUGGGUUUAAAGGGUUCGCAGGCGGCGUAUUAAGUCAGUGGUGAAAUCCCUCGGCUCAACCGAGGAACUGCCAUUGAAACUGGUAUGCUAGAGUAUAGUUGGCGUUGGCGGAAUAUUUCAUGUAGCGGUGAAAUGCUUAGAUAUGAAAUAGAACACCGAUCGCGAAGGCAGCUAACGAAACUAUAACUGACGCUCAGGAACGAAAGCGUGGGGAGCGAACAGGAUUAGAUACCCUGGUAGUCCACGCCGUAAACUAUGAUUACUCGUUGUCGGCAAUACACAGUCGGUGGCUAAGCGAAAGUGAUAAGUAAUCCACCUGGGGAGUACGAUCGCAAGGUUGAAACUCAAAUGAAUUGACGG